rnacentral:rRNA from 1 species
GAUGAACGCUGGCGGCGUGCCUAAUACAUGCAAGUCGAGCGAACGGACGAGAAGCUUGCUUCUCUGAUGUUAGUGGCGGACGGGUGAGUAACACGUGGAUAACCUACCUAUAAGACUGGGAUAACUUCGGGAAACCGGAGCUAAUACCGGAUGAUAUUUUGAACCGCAUGGUUCAAAAGUGAAAGACGGUCUUGCUGUCACUUAUAGAUGGAUCCGCGCUGCAUUAGCUAGUUGGUAAGGUAACGGCUUACCAAGGCAACGAUGCAUAGCCGACCUGAGAGGGUGAUCGGCCACACUGGAACUGAGACACGGUCCAGACUCCUACGGGAGGCAGCAGUAGGGAAUCUUCCGCAAAGGGCGAAAGCCUGACGGAGCAACGCCGCGUGAGUGAUGAAGGUCUUCGGAUCGUAAAACUCUGUUAUUAGGGAAGAACAUAUGUGUAAGUAACUGUGCACAUCUUGACGGUACCUAAUCAGAAAGCCACGGCUAACUACGUG